UACGUAGGUGGCAAGCGUUGUCCGGAUUUACUGGGCGUAAAGAGCGCGCAGGCGGUCGUUCAAGUCGCGUGUGAAAGCCCCCGGCUCAACUGGGGAGGGUCACGCGAUACUGAUCGACUCGAAGGCAGGAGAGGGAAGUGGAAUUCCCGGUGUAGUGGUGAAAUGCGUAGAUAUCGGGAAGAACACCCGUGGCGAAGGCGGCUCUCUGGGACGGUACUGACGCUGAGACGCGAAAGCGUGGGGAGCGAACAGG
rnacentral:rRNA from 1 species